CCAAUAGCGUAUAUUAAAGUUGUUGCAGUUAAAAAGCUCGUAGUUGAAUUUUAGGCCUGACCGGACGGUCCGUCUCUGGCGAGUACUGUUCUGUUGUCGGGUCUAUCCUUCUGGUGAGCCGGUAUGCCCUUUAUUGGGUGUGUCGGGGAACCAGGACCAUUACCUUGAAAAAAUUAGAGUGUUUAAAGCGGGCUUUUGCUUGAAUAGAUUAGCAUGGAAUAAUAGAAUAGGACGUUGGUUCUAUUUUGUUGGUCUAGGACCACCGUAAUGAUUAAUAGGGAUAGUGGGGGGCAUUAGUAUUCAAUUGUCAGAGGUGAAAUUCUUGGAUUUAUUGAAGACUAACUACUGCGAAAGCAUUUGCCAAGGAUGUUUUCAUUAAUCAAGAACGAAAGUUAGGGGAUCGAAGACGAUCAGAUACCGUCGUAGUCUUACCCAUAAACUAUGCCGACUAGGAAUCGGGCGACGUUAUUUUCAUGACUCGCUCGGCGCCUUAUG
rnacentral:rRNA from 1 species